rnacentral:tRNA from 1 species
UGUCGUGUAGCUCAAUGGUCGAGCGUCAAACUGUUAAUUUGAUGGUUGUAGGUUCGAGUCCUACCACGACAG